GGGGCUGAUUCAGGAUUCGACAGGAUUGAGAAGGCCCGUGGAGCAUGCCGAGGGGCGGUUGGCCUCGUAAAAAGCCGCAAAAAAAUAGUCGCAAACGACGAAAACUACGCACUAGCAGCUUAAUAACCUGUUGAGUGCCUAUCCUCCCUAGCCUCCGCCUGUAGGACGGGGAUUCAGGAUAGUCAAAACCAAACAGGAUCGCGUGGAUGCUUUGACCCAAGAGCUGAAGCGUUAAAACUAAGUUGGGUAUGUCUUUGUGUGGCGUGUUUGUCCGCAGCACACUGACGAGAUUAAAGACAAACUAAGCAUGUAGCGCCAUUGACUAGACUGAUUCUGGACGCGGGUUCAACUCCCGCCAGCUCCACCA
rfam:Salinivibrio sp. KP-1 scf7180000001622, whole genome shotgun sequence.